AUGUAAUUACUACAGAACAGGCUGGAUGGAGUACUGGUACAUGGGCCCCAAAUGUAACCACCUUUGGAACACUCUGGAUUUCAUUUUAGUGGCCACUCUUCCUGGAGUGGCACUGGUUAUCAUAGUGGUUGUAAUUUUUUCUGCUGUCUGCUGCUUGAGAACGAAAAAAGAUGGGAAGCAGCCAAAGGCCCCAUCCAGUGGAGCACAGCAGAACCCUGCAUUCAGCACUGACACAGCUGCCAGCCCAGGGCAGGGGCACCAUCAGCCACCUGAGGAUGCCUGGGUUGGACAAAUUCCAAAAGUUGUACUGAAAAGAGAAGAUUUCAAUGAUGCCUCAAUCCCAAAUCAAAGGCGGGAUUACAGUCCCAUGUAUGAUCAGCCUCUAAGGACAGCAGAACCAGCAUCAGAUUAUUUCCCUCAGUCCCGAGGCCAGCGGGAGGAGUUUGACUAUCCCAGGAAGGAUUUGCCUUAUCCAGUUUAUCCAGAGGCCAGACAGUACCGGAGAUACUAAGAACAAGUGCUUCCUGUAUCAGAAUUGUCUUGGAAUGCUGAGUGAUCACUGGACAGUGCAGGAGCUGAGAGAGCAGUGACAGCCUGGUGGGACACACAGGGAACUGCCAUCCUUAGUAGAGAGCACUAAGUUAUUGCAAAGAGAAAGCAUGGGGGAUAAUUGUGAAAGGAAACCUGGUGAGUCCCUGAUACUGCAGCACACAAGGCUCUGGCCCUGGCAGUGUGGUACAAACACAGCCAAGGACUUGGCUUCUCUCUGCCCCAAGAUUUACCAAAUACCCACAGACCCAUUCCCUUGUCCCUUGUCUUUUGUGCUUUGUGUUCCUUCUGUGUUGAUCCCAACAGCUGGAAUGGUUUCCCUUUAAAACUGUCCUGGUUUGCUUUGUAACUCUUUUGUAAAUGAGGAAAAUAAAUGAAGCUGUGGAAGAUUGACUACCUUGCCA
rnacentral:lncRNA from 1 species